rnacentral:misc_RNA from 1 species
AAACGGCCAUAGAAAUUAAAGAGAGAGAGAGAGAUGUGAUUGAGGUUAAGUUUACUUCAUUUCUUCAUUACUUCACAUUUUCACAUGUAUUUUGUUUACAAAGAAUAGUUCGAAGAAAUUUUUAGGAUUUCUAUAGAUUAUUUCAAAUAUUCAAGUCUUCAAAACUACUAACUACUAUGAAAAAACCCAAGGGAAAAACAACCUCAGCGAAUUCCUCAGCUGUAAUGGAAUUUGGUAAUGAUUUUACUCAAGAACAAGAAGAAAUGAAAAAAUGGUAUGAAGAGCUCGGGGAGGAUCCAAAGAGUUUUUCCAAGUCGACAGAGCAAGUUUUGAUUGACCUGAAAGAUGAAGCGAAAAAGUGUCAUGAUGCAGAAGUUGCUAAUUAUAAUAUCAAAAAUUCCAAAACAAACUCAAAUUAUCAGUGGAUGAAAACAGUUAUGUCCAAGGGUACCGUUUCUGAUAAAAUAGCUGCUCAUGUUGUUUCCAUUCAAGAUAACCCAAUUGCAAAUUUGGAAACUAUUAGGAAUCUUGUUGGAAUGGUCAAAGUAAGCAAGAAAAAGGAAUGUGUGAAAGUCAUGGAGACACUGACGGAAUUAUUUUUAUCUGACCUGCUGAGACCUGGUCAAAAAUUGAAGCCCUUCCAUCAGAGACCACUUUCCAAGUUGAAUGACCUUUCCUCUGGUAAUGCGGUGACUAGAAGAAAAAUACUAAGCUUUUGGUAUUUUGAAGAUCAGCUCAAAGAAAUUUACACUUCUUUUGUAUUGGCCUUGAAUACUGUGGCACACGAUACAGUCGAUAGUAAUAAAGACAAAGCAAUCACUGCUAUGUAUAAGCUUUUGGCAGAUAAUCCAGAGCAAGAAAAAAAUCUGCUCACAUAUAUCAUCAAUAAACUGGGAGAUCCUUCUCAGAAGGUUGCGUCUAAAGUGAUAUACUGCUUGACGCAGUUGUUAUUCAAACACAUCAAUAUGCAAGUGGUGGUGUUGAACGAAAUCGAAAAAUUGAUGUUUCGACCCAACAUUUCUAGCAGGGCACAGUACUACGGUUUAUGUCUCUUAUCCCAGUACCAUUUGAGCCACGACACUGACGAAGUCGCUAGGAAACUGAUUGAAUUAUAUUUUUCGUUCUUCAAAUCAUGUGUCAAAACGGGUGAUGUGGACAGCAGAAUGAUGUCUGCGCUUCUCAUGGGUAUGAAUAGGGCUUACCCAUAUGCAAAAAUGGACUACCCCAAAGUGUCUGAGCAUAUAGACACCAUGUAUAGAUUAGUUCACAUGGCCAAUUUCAAUAUCAGCUUGCACGCCCUGGCGCUUCUUUAUCAAGUUUCUGAUUUUGGAAAUAAUAUAUCAGACAGGUUUUAUGGUGCUUUGUACAAAAAGUUAUUCGAUACACAUUUACUGAAAACGACUCACCAAGCCAUGUUGCUGAGCUUAGUAUAUAAAGCCCUUCUCAAGGACAAGGAAAUCAACAGAGUGAAAAUGUUUGUGAAGAGAUUGUUGCAGAUAUCUCUUUACACACAACCAAGUUUUUCAUGUGGAAUCCUCUACCUCAUCUCCCAGCUUUUGUCUAAAAAAGAGAAUGUCCUCAGCCUCACGUUGAGUCAGUUAACAAUUGAUGGUUUAGACGAAGACGACGACGAUUUUGAAGAAAAAUAUGGUGCCAAUGCGAAGGAUCAGGUUGAUGCGUCUGUUCAAGAAAUAAAGGAAGAAGUUGAGGACCCUGAUUUUUCUCAACAAAUCACCGAGGUUAAUGAUUCAACUGUUAUUGACGGCGACCCAAUUGAAAUAAAAGAAGAAGAUGAAGACGUAAAACCCGACAUCCAAUCACUUGAGAACUCCGGAGGAAGUUGGCAUCACCUAAAGAUUGCUGUCAAGAAAGAAAAAUCUCCCACCUCGAAAUACAACCCUUUCGCAAGAAACCCUCUGUAUGGAGGUGGUGAAUUUUGCGCUUAUACCGAACUGCGCUCUCUUGUUAACCACUUUCACCCAACAGUGUCCCUUUUCGCUUACAAUAUCUUGAACGGUGAGAGGAUAAACUACACGGGAGAUCCGCUAAAAGAUUUCACGCUGAUAAGGUUCCUGGAAAGGUUCGUGUUCAAAAACCCGAGGAAGGUGGAAGAGAAGCCUGGCAAGCAUCCAACUUUUGGUAAACGGAAGCUGUACAGGCCUAAGGGUAUCAAGAUGAUCCCUGUCAAAUCUGCGAAUUACGUCAGGGAGAAUCCCGAAAAUAUACCUGUCGAUGAACUGUUUGUACACACCUACCUACAACAAAAAUACCAAGAAAAGGAUACCGAAGACAAUGAAGAUAGCGAUCUUGAAUCCGUUCAGAGUGAAGAAUUUGAAGAAAUGCUCGAUAAAAUGGCGGGUGUCCGCGAAGCAGAUGACAGCAUAGACUACAUGAAUGAAAUAGGAGACAACCUGAACCGAACCGAUAAAAAAAAUAAAAAGAAAAAACGAGUGACGAGGAAGAAGAAGGAAGCGAAGGAUACUUAUCAGAUCAAGAAGAAAUGGAUGAUGAUCUUGAUGAUGAUGACUUAGAUGAUGAAGAACUAGAUGACGAAGAAGGUGACAUCGAUGAAGAAGAAUUUGAUGAAAACGACGAAGAACUGUUAGGGGAUCUAAGUGAUGAUGAUGAUGUAGAAGACAUGGAGUUCAUGGACGAGGAACCGAGCAACAAGAAGAGGAACAAGUUUAAGAAGAGGGGAGAUGACAUCAUGUCUCAGUUUGCUUCGGCUGAAGAAUUCGCCACACUUCUUGAUGAAGA